UUUUUCUUCGGACAAUUUAAAGGUGCUGCAUGGUUGUCGUCAGCUCGUGCCGUGAGGUGUCGGGUUAAGUCCUAUAACGAGCGCAACCCCUAUUGUUAGUUACCAGCGCGUAUUGGCGGGGACUCUAGCAAGACUGCCGGUGCAAACCGUGAGGAAAGUGGGGAUGACAUCAAAUCAUCACGGCCCUUACAUCCUGGGCUACACACGUGCUACAAUGGCAAGUACAGAAAGCAGCUACCUGGCAACAGGAUGCGAAUCUCCAAAGCUUGUCUCAGUUCGGAUUGGAGUCUGCAACUCCACUCUAUGAAGCUGGAAUCGCUAGUAAUCGGAUAUCAUCCAUGAUCC
rnacentral:rRNA from 1 species